UUUUAAGUAAGGAAUCAGCCGCAUUUUGUGACUUAAAUGUUUGAACAGUGAUGUUUUCCUAUGUGGGGAUUGAAUGCAGAUUUGGUAGUCAUUUUUAAUCUACAGUAUCUGAAAUAAAUGUUUCUUUGUAAGGUUUUUCGUUGAUUGUUUAAUGUCAAGUAAAUUUAGAUCAAGCAUUAAUGAUUUGAGGCAAUUUUUGGUGUAACGCAAUAUGCAGCUUAACAUAUGGUUUAAAUUUGAUGUAAGUUUUUUUUUUCCCCCCCAGAAAACUUUAGAAACUGUUCCUUUGGAGAGGAAAAAGAGAGAAAAGGAACAGUUCCGUAAACUCUUUAUUGGUGGCUUGAGCUUCGAAACAACCGAAGAAAGUUUGAGGAAUUACUAUGAGGAAUGGGGGAAACUUACCGAUUGUGUGGUUAUGCGAGAUCCAGCAAGCAAAAGAUCAAGAGGAUUUGGUUUUGUCACCUUUUCGUCCAUGGCCGAGGUUGAUGCUGCCAUGGCCGCAAGACCUCAUUCGAUUGAUGGAAGAGUGGUAGAGCCAAAACGAGCGGUUGCAAGAGAGGAAUCUGGAAAACCAGGGGCUCAUGUAACUGUAAAGAAGCUUUUUGUUGGUGGAAUAAAAGAAGAUACUGAGGAACAUCAUCUUAGAGAUUACUUUGAGGAAUAUGGAAAAAUUGACACUAUCGAGAUAAUUACAGAUAGGCAGUCUGGAAAGAAAAGAGGCUUUGGAUUUGUUACUUUUGAUGACCAUGAUCCUGUGGAUAAGAUCGUAUUACAGAAGUACCAUACCAUUAAUGGACAUAAUGCAGAAGUAAGAAAGGCUUUGUCAAGGCAAGAAAUGCAGGAAGUCCAAAGUUCUAGGAGUGGAAGAGGAGGCAACUUUGGCUUUGGAGAUUCUCGUGGUGGAGGAGGAAAUUUUGGACCAGGACCUGGUAGUAAUUUCAGAGGAGGAUCUGAUGGAUAUGGAAGUGGUCGUGGAUUUGGAGAUGGCUAUAAUGGAUAUGGAGGAGGACCCGGAGGUGGCAAUUUUGGAGGUAGCCCUGGUUAUGGAGGAGGAAGAGGAGGAUAUGGUGGUGGAGGACCUGGAUAUGGCAACCAGGGUGGGGGCUACGGAGGUGGUUAUGACAACUAUGGAGGAGGAAACUAUGGAAGUGGAAAUUACAAUGAUUUUGGGAAUUAUAAUCAGCAACCUUCCAACUAUGGUCCAAUGAAGAGUGGAAACUUUGGUGGUAGCAGGAAUAUGGGGGGACCAUAUGGUGGAGGAAACUAUGGUCCUGGAGGCAGUGGAGGAAGUGGGGGUUAUGGAGGAAGAAGCAGAUAUUGAGCUUCUUCCCAUUGCCAUGGCAUUGCCCAGAACCAUGGACAAGCAUAUUCUGCUGCCACAAAGACUGUAACAAGUGCUUCAUUUCAACAGCUGAGGCAAGCCCAGUGAAUCAUUAAUAAAGCUUUUCUUGGUUCCUUCAGUGAUGUUGGUAGUCAAAUGGAAGGUGUCUUGCUGCAGGUAACUAAUGAAGAAGUGGUCAACCACAGAAUCUUCAAGAAAUAAGAAAUUCUGUACCAUCUGAAAGUAGUUCUUGUUGGUGCCUUCAUUUUAAAAGCACUUUUUUUUUAAAGAUUAAAGGGAAAUGUUUUCUGAUAAAAUACAAACUUUUUAGUACAGGUUCUUAAGAUCGAAUAAGUACAGAUUUGAGUAUUGUUUGUAAGACGAGCUAGAGCUUAAUGUGUCAUGUUUUAAAUUAGGUUUUGUGAGUAGACUUAAUUCUAUUUUAAAUAUAAAAUUUAUAAAAUAAAUACUUUUGUAUUCAAAUACUUGGUGUAAUAUCUACACAUAAAAUGUGAAUUCUGUUCUAUAUACUAUAUACAUUUACUUUGUGAAGGAUUGCCAUACCCUAGGUUUUGAAAGAUUUCAGAAAACUUCAUAAUGCCACUUUUACUUCAUAGGCAAAUGCGAAGAAGCAUUAUUGGCUGUCCGUAAUAAAAUGCCAUUCUUUGUACAUUGUA